rnacentral:lncRNA from 1 species
CACUUUCACUCCAUUCAGCCAUGAAGUUCUUCUUUUUCAGUUUUCUUGCCAUCCAUUUCAAUUCUGGGCAAUCUAUCUUAUAAUGCCCGGGUUUGUUACACUCAUAACAAAUAGGAGUUUCUUUUUCCUUUUCUUUGUCCUUACCCUUUUCUUUGCUUGAGCUACCUUUGAAGAAGGGUUUCUUUUUAUGAAAUCUAUUCUUACC